rnacentral:antisense_RNA from 2 species
CUUGACGGAGCCGAGCCACAGCGGCCGGCCGGGCGGACGGGUCUCGCCGUAGGUGGCCAGCAGGGCGUGGGCCUC